UUUUUUUAUUUAAAAGUUAUUGGUUUUAUAAUUAUUAAAAAUUUAAUUUUGAUAUUAAAAUUAAUUUUUCUUGUUCUUGAGGUUUUUUUUUUUUUUUUAAACGAGGAGAGAGAGAGGAUGCUGUAAUCUUCCAGCCUUCCCCCGCCUCUUUCUUGGCUUUGCACUGUUUUUUGAGUAAAACUUGCAUCCUCUUUUACAAGUGGCCAUUUGUUUCGGUCAUUUCACCCCCAUAGCUCCUCUCGCAAAACAAGAACAAACCCACUAGGUCCGAACAAGUUGUCUUCUUACUUGGCUAAAUCUAAACUGCUGAAUUUCACGUUAAUUUAUUUUCAGGGUGAAUUACCAGAUGGAAAGCAAGUAGCUAUCAAAAGUUUCCAGUCAAGGUAUGGAGGAAUUCAAGAAUGAAUUAGUCAUCAUAAUUGCCAAGCUGCAGCAUAGAAAUCUUGCGAGACUAUUGGGUUGUUGCAUUGAAGAAAAUGAAAAGCUACUGGUGUAUGAAUACAUGCCCAAUGGCAGUCUUGCCCUUCACCUCCUUGGCACGGAAAUGAGUGCAGAAUUAGAUUGGAAACUGCGGGUUAGCAUUAUCAAUGGAAUAGCUAGAGCCUAGAGGCCUGGUUUAUCUACACGAGGACAGUCGACUAAGAAUAAUUCACAGAGACAUGAGAGCCAGCAAUAUUUUGUUGGAUCAUCAGAUGAAUCCAAGAGUUUCUGAUUUCGGAAUGGCAAGAAUUUUUGGAGGAGAUCAGAAGCAAGCCAAUACAAAUGGAGUCGCUGGUACACAGUAUGUCCACUCUACUUUCUUUCUUUUUGGUUGGGUUUCGAGGAAGUUUAACUGUUGUGUAUGUCUUGAUUUUUCUUCCCUCUGAGGCCUUUUCCAGGACAUGGGGGCUUUUUACCUUUAUCAAAAAACUGUAAAACAUUUUAUCAAAAACAGAAAAAUUAGGAAAACUUUUUUUCUCUAAAA